ACAAUGGACACUUCCUGUGCUCAGGAAGCACAUCAGCUGGGAGACUCGGAGUGGCCAUAGCCCUGAAUUUCAGCGUGGAGUCAGCAUGAAACCAAAUGUACGUUACAGCUGCGGUGAUGAGAGCGAAGCUUUUACCAUUUGUUUUGGACUCCCGCACUGAUAUGAAUGGGAGCGGGCAGCUGUGGAUGGCCAAAGCAGGGCCACUGGAAGUAAAGCUGGCAUUGACAAGGGCAGACAGGUGCAGAAGGAAACCUGGUUUUGGAUGACAUUGGUCCCUGGACUGUAGAGCGCUCAAGCCCUGGCUGCAAAUCGUUUGCCUUGAAGAGACAUAAAUGAGAACCACAACUGCCAGAAAAUAAGACGCUGCUGACUGCGACUGCUGAUAAGCUGCAUAAGGCAGGAGGUCAACAAUCCGGAGACUGCUCUUAAUUAUUAAAGGAUCAACACGUCUUAAUGCACGCAUCCACUGGGGAGGCCAGAGAACUGGGGCUCGGGGAGAGAAGUCUUCUCCUCUUUAAAUUGGCAAAAACAAACACACGAAGCAGUUGUCGGAGGUGGGGGGGGGGGAAGCUAAAGGGUUGCCCCUCUCUCCUAACUCUAAAUUUGGAACCGAGAAUAUUGGCACCUCUUCCUCUCCAGACUCAAGCUGCCGUGUCAUCGAGGAGUGGGUUUGCAGACGUGAUCUCCACUUAACGAACUGAACCUUGACUCGGCCCCACGGCAAGGAGCGCUGGGACCCAACAGCCCAGGGCCCCAGGGGAGCUUUGCGCGACUACUCUGCCUUAGUGCCUUCUUUUGUCCUAAAUUAAGCUCCUUGACGUAUAAUUAUCCAUCCCACACACUGAACCUAUCUCCAAGGUAAAUGUUUCUGCUCCGCGAACACCGGUUCACAGGAUAAAAACAAUCCUCCUCUGUCUCCUCCGUGUCACCACCGCCAGCCCCAUGGAUGAGUCCUUGCUGGGUGCCCUGGGCUCAGGGCUGGGCUGCCUGCUGCGGCGAUCACACGAAGCUACAGGUGAGCCCGAGGAAGUGGUGGCUGUGCCUUUUCUCCCUCCUUUUUGAUUUCUUUCCACAAUUGGAGGGAAAGGCGUCGGGACCGGUCAAGAGCGAUGCAGGUGGAUUUAGUACGAAAAGAAUCAGGACACCAUUCCGUUGCAAUACUUGACAACGUUGCAGAGGAAAAGGGCUUCAUAAAAGCAGCGGCCGGGUGGGUUAUCUCCAAACGCGUGUGGCUCCCGAGAUGAGGACACCAUCCCGAAAAUUUGGCCGCAAUGCCUAUAAGCUGAAGUGCCUGUUCCAGAUCUGUGCCAGAUGAGGUUUCGGGGGGUCUGCAUGAGUACCAGUGAGUUCAUGGCAGCUCCCAGGCUUAAUUAUCAUGCUGUUGCUCUCAGUAGCAAAGCAAGCGAGGAACAGAGACCACAAUUCACUUGGGAAGAACAUGGCAAUGUUAAGAAAAUGGCCAAGAAACAUGGAAACAUGGGCUCAAACGAAUUCAUAAGCCUGAAAUUCAAAUGACAGCCCUCUAUGUUUAUCUAUCAGGUUUGCAAAGAGAAAAGAAACAACCAUACCCUGUGUUGGCAAAGGGUACCGGGGAGUUACUAGAAUCAGACAGACUGGUUUAUCCUUCUAGGCUCUUCCUCUUACUAGCAAAGGGGACUUGGGCAUGUCAUUUAUGUCCUCUAAGACUAUUCUCCCCAUCUGUAAGAUGCAGAUAAUAUUAGUAACCACCUCCAAGGGGGGUUGGGAGAUUUAUGUAAAAUCAUGCUUAUAAAGUGCUUAGUGGGUCAUCUGACACAUAGUAAAUGCCCAGUUAAUAUUCAAAUUAUAAUCAUUAUUGGAAGCUAGAAACCCAACACACUGAUAGGGGAGCAUAAACUGGUAAAACCCUAUGUAAUAAAAACUUGACAUGUAUGUUAAAGCCUUAAUGGUGUGUAUACACCUGACUUUUAGAAGCACUUCACUUCUAGAAAUCUAUUUUGAGGAAACAGGACACAAUCAUAUGUUUACGAGGAUAUCCUUCAUGGUAUUUAUGACGAAAAUGGAAGCAAUUUAAAUACCCAACGGUAGUUAAAAAUGAGUAGUAGUUAGAAAGUAGUAAUUAAGAAGUAGUUAAAAAUUAAGUUUCAGUCGCUAUCUCCAAGAGAUGCAGAGCAUAUUUUUGAGAAAUACUUGAUGGUGGAGAGAAAUGAUACGCUGUGAAAAUAAUGGUUUUCAAUUAAUGGAUUCCCUAUUAUUUGUAUUUUUUAUUAAUACUUGCUUGUCAUUUUAAAUUUGUCUGUAACCAGUCAACAAAUACUUUUUGGGCAUCUGCUGCAUAUUGGGCACUACGGUGGGCACCAUGGAUUCGGUAGUGAAUAAAGCAGACAGGGUGCGGCCUCGCGGAA